CUUCAUGAUUGUUGUUGGUUAAUUGAGAGUAUGUGAUGCUCAAAGAAAUGAUGUGCAUUCAUACUAAAUCUUUUAUCUACAUCUACAACUUAAUGUUUCAUGUUAAAAAAAGUAUAUCCCAUAUUUCCCCGUAGUGGCAGAGAGCAUAUUUGAGCAGCUGACUGGAGGCUAGGCAUAUCUGCGUUAGUUUGAUUUGUGUGCGUAUGUUCACUGUUUUCUGUUUUUCCAAGUGUUCAAUGCUACAUUUUUGUUCGCUUUACUGUUGUUGUGCUCGUAUGAGCAAGACUAGGGGCAUGGCAGUUGGGCACGGGGCAUAACAAUUCAUAGUAUCAGCCUCCAUGCUUAUGUUUCAGGUUAUACGCCUUUGUAAUGUAAUCAGUUGUUCAUGUCAAUGGCAGUGGUUUAAAAUACGUAAGCUGAUCCAUCUUCUGCUUGCUUGUCACUGUGUUUCUACUAGGCAAGGUCUGCAAUAGAUUAUAUAUUCAUUCAAAUAUGACGUGGUAUUCUUCCUUUACCUUCGUCAACAUAUUUAUUUGGGCGUUCCUUUUCUCUGUACUUUGUUUGGAAAGUGUUUUUCCUACGCAUGUCCUUCUUGAUUAUACGUUCAUGAGAUAAUUUGGUCAUAAUAUAACCCUGUCCUAAAAGUGCUCUUGCAUGGCAAAAUUCUCUUCUUACAUGUUUGGUCACAAUAUAGCUUUGUCCUAAAAUCUAUUUUGCUUUCAGUUUGAAUCUGUCAUGACCUGGAUAGAUAUACUCUAGACCUUGAUAUAUGACUACGUAAUUGAAGAAGUGGACAUCUUGGUCAUUGCAAAUUUUCUCUGUUCCUUUUUAAAAGAGCGGAUUACAAUUCUCCGGGAGCAAUGCUGCUGAGGUACCAAUCAGGUUAUUGAUGCCGCCGGAUAGCUGUCGUUGGCUAUAAUGUGAUUAGGUACCAAUCUUGUUAUUAAAGAUGUUAUGUUAUAUAAUGCGGCUACAUAAUUAUACUCUUAUAUGGUCAGCCAAGUGUUCUUCUGGAUAUACCUUUGUGCAAUGUAUAACUGAAGUAUGAUCAUUUCCUUGCAUAAACUAAGCAUACUAUUAAAAUUUUGUGUGUCAGGCCUUAAGAGUAGAUUGCCUUUUCUGUACUUUUGUGUUGCUUCAUCCAUUAAUUAUUUAUUAAAAUGUUAACACUUCAUUGUUAAUGUAUGGUUGUUUACCUUUUGGUGUCGACUUUCGACUUACUGAUUUGUGCAAUCAAAUAUAGAAAAGGAUCUCGUUUCGGACACGACAGCCUUGCUGAUGGCAUGCUUAAGGAUGACCUGAUGUUACUGAUGACACACAUUGAGUUACCUCGCACCAUCAUUUGGCCUUUCAAGCACUUGAUUUGCAUUUUUUUGAUGUAAUCAAAUAGUGUCCCUGCAUCUUAACAAGCCACCCAUUUAAUGUGUCAUCCUUUCCUUUUCUUUUCCUGGAGUUUUUUCAAUAAACAUCGAUGCACUUAUGGAUAGUACAUUGACGCUGAUGAUUCUAUCUUCUUUAUUUGAGAAUAUGAUAUUGUACAUGUAUUAUAGAUUGGAUUACAAAAUAGUGGUUGUAGUUCUUAUGAUUUGCAGUAGCUUAGGUCUGGUGCUGUGGCUUUAGCACAUAACAUGGAUCGGUUUUAAUAUUCUGUUCAUGCUCAUCUUCGCAUUUUAUAGGCAGGUUGUUUGGGAUAAUUUGUACUUUACUAAAUUACUGCUAAAGUGGUUUUGUUGAGAGUUGAAACUAUACCAAUGUUUUGCUUUCUGCUAAAGUCAAAGAUAUUGUAUCCUUGAAUGUUUUUCAAUUACCAACACAUGCCAAAUUCUGCAUAUUUGUUAAUGAUUUCGAUGCCUUCUGUUAGUUUUGCACUAUGGAAGUCAUUGUUUGCUAUGUAUGAAUAUUGGCUUAUUGGGUUUAGAAAACAUUGUAUAUUUUUUAUAUGCUCUCAGUUGAACACGUUUCGGUAUGUAGUGUACAUGGUAUAGGCAGGUAAGAAAACAACCUUAUUUAAGCUCAGGCCUGACUAGCGAUUAAGUCAUUAAAUUUUAGUGGGUAGGUAAAAGAGCAGCCCUAUUUUCGGUAUGCUUGACUUUCAGUAUUUUUGGUCACAGAUUUGUUGAUCUUGUUUACUGCCUCUAUCAAAAUAUUUGUACAAAUCCAGACUACAAAACGUCUUAUAUAUUGAUAGAGUGAGGACUACAGAUUGUGCUGGUGGCAACCUGGGGAAGACUUAUCGACGUGGAUACAGCCACAUUCCUUGACCGAAAUGAUCCAAACUAUGAUAGUAACAAGAUAGUUUGGUGCUCUCAUGGUUAUUUUGUAGAGAUUGUCCUUCUGUUCAUUAUUUGGCAAUCAUCUACUGCAGCUCAGCUACUGUCCAGCUGCUUCCCUUAUGGCCUUUCAUUCUCACUGUGAUCCCCUGAGAUGCCUUGUGUAUUUGCGUUGUCCUCUGCUUCUGAUAAUGCAAGACAGAUCAAACCAAUGCAGCAAGACGAAACUUAAAAGGGGAUCUCGGACAAGUGGAAGGAGGGAAGUCGUCGUAAGAUAGAUAAUAAACUUGCCUCCGCUCUGACAAGAGCAUGUUCGUUCAGACCUUUUCUUACUAAAAGAUUUUUAUCUAUAGCAAGUGUUUCCAUUGGAACUAUCAAAUUCAAACUCCUAGAUGUCUAUGUCAGCAUGUAGGACUUUGUCCAGGCGGAGAUAUCCCCUCUGAUCUUUUUAUGAAUCCUUCCACACUUCUUUGUAAAGUGUUGCUGAUUUUAAUAAAAUCUCUCUAUUCAAAAGACAAUAUAAUUCAAGCUACUAGAGGAGCUUGUUCAUUCA